UCUGGUGGUUUGGGCGGGGCAGUCCCACCCGUUCCCAUCCCGAACACGGUCGUGAAAGACCCCAGCGCCGACGAUACUGCGCCGGCAACGACGUGGGAAAAUAGGUCACUGCCAGAG
rnacentral:rRNA from 1 species